AAAGCAAAUGCAGGUGGUAAUCUGUAAUUGAAAGUUUAAAUCAGCAAUGUAUGGCCUAAAUCUUAAGGAAGCCCUUCUUAGGUGAGAAUUAGGCUUUAACAAUUAUACUCAAAAUGUAGAUCGUUUGUAUUUCUUGUUUGCACCCCUUGUGUUCCUGCUUUAGGACCUAGAAAACUUCCACUACCUACUAACCUACUAUUGUUUCUUUGACUUUGUUUAAUUUACAAUCCUUAAAUUUGUUCUAUUGAAUAUCUAGCUAUAUUGUAUGUAUAUAUGUUGCUAAAUCUUUACUUAAUAUUAUAUUAUUAUAAAAUAAAUUUCAUUUAUGUAGUUAGUGACAAGUGUUUGGUUCUCUGGGUGUGUAAAUGCUUGGGUUAUCAUAAUUUACUGUUUAUAUUAUUAAUGUUAUAAACAUAGUUAUAUUUAUUUACUUAUAAACAUUAAAAGCUAAAAAGAAUAGAGAAAAUAAACAUAUCCAGAUAUUAUGGUAACUUAAAAUUCUUCUUAUAAAUUUGUAUUAAGGGUAUAAGGUGAAACGGAAAGGGAGAAGAGAAAAAAAAUGAAGACACCACACAGGAGAUUGUUUUCACCACAAUCUUUGAACAUUUAGAUAUAGUCUUUUGUUUAUUUAUUUUAAUCUUCCUUUAGUUCUUUAGAUGGAACAAUUUUUCCUGAACGAAAUUAGUUCUUGAAUCUUGAUAUGUAGCUGCUCAGGUGGAAACUGAUUUGAGCACUAUGAGGGGGUCCCAUCUAACUUAAAUUGGCUACCUAGAUUAUGCUUAUUCUUCCUUUAUGUUUUCCUUUUCCUUUUCUUUAUCAUUCCAGAAACAGAAUUGGCACGAAUUUGCUAAAUUUCUUAGAUCAAUGAUUUUGUGAGCCUAUUUUUCUUCUGUUAUCUAAACUGGUCACUUGGUCUUAUGUCAUUCUUUUGAAUGAUCAUCUCUUGUUCUGGACUUCCAUUUCCUGUUCCUAGUUAUCCAUGCAAAUCCAUGUAGCAAUUUUGAAAUUUUCUAUAAUAAAAAUGAACUAUUUAUUCUCUUACUUUUUGAUUCAUAGCUUUUGGAUGGACUAUGGCGUGUCAGCAGCUUGCAACUUGACAUCUGCUUUAGAUGUUUGGAAGCCAAUAUACUUUUGAAGAAGAUUUCUUGAUCACAGUUUUGUAGUGUCCUUUUAUGGGCGCUACAUGUUUGCAUAAACGUGCUUUUUAUCAGAAUUCCUCCACAUUAAUUUGUUGUUUUUAUUCAUAUGAUUUCUAUAUUGCAUUAAUAAUUGUUUGGAAAAUGACUAGGCAAGUUGAGGUAUCAAUCAUUUAAUGACUGGUGCAAGUUUUCUAAGGUGCUAGAGGUGUCGUGUAGGGAUGCAACUUGGGUUGGGCCAACCUGAAAGCUGCCUAACCAAACAUGAAUAAAAUAGGUUGAGUUGGGUUGAAGAUUGUGCAAGGGUUAGGGCUUGGAAAAUGACACACACACAUGUAAUAUGUGUGCUUGUAUUAUAAACUAUUUAUUAUAAAAUGUUGUUUAGGUAUCAUUUGCACAUGUAAUAUGUGUGCUUGUAUCAGUAUGAUAGUGUGUCUUUGUAAAAUAAGAAAAUUGUUUUGAGACCAAUUUGCUUUGAUAGUUCCAAAUGUGAUAUCCCAUGUUAUUCAUCUUCUAUGCUCGAUGACACAACAUGUUUGGAACUGAUUCAUGGAAUGGCUGUGUAGUGUGUUGGAAAUGUUGCUAUUGCUUCUUCCACUACUAAACUCAUCAUCCAUAAAAAAGAUAUCUUUUCUCAUCCUCAAAAGGAUAAAUCUUCUGAUUCUUUAGGGGGCGAAACUGCAUGUCCCAUCUUCCAAGAAAACCCAACAAUUUCGUUUCUUGCUGUUCCUUGCCAGCACAGGUACUGUUACUAUUGCCUCCACACACGAUGUGCUGCGACUGCAUCAUUCCAGUGUUCGAGACACAAUGAGCCUAUAAUUUCCAUGCAACGGCAGGGUGGAAUAAUUAACAUUAGAAUUCCCAAAACUUGAUCAAUUCAAAGGAAGCAACAAAAUAAAAGGAGCAACACAAAUGCAAUGAUGGGUCAAGAUGCCUGAUAAGGCCUAACAUUGAACAAUGUAAUCAAAGUUCAUUUGAAAAGCAUCGCUAUUUGAUUAUUCAUCAGCAGCCUUCAGUCGUUCUUUCCAAGUGCUUAGCUUUUCUCUGGGCUUGGUUUUCAAGCUUCCAUUGCUUCUCUCUUGUGUCUACUUCCAGCCACUGAAUGCCACAAAUCUGACAUUUUUACUGUCUAAUAUUUGCGUAGUCCUUGUUUGCAGCGCUUUGGCAAAGGUUGAAGGGGGAAUUGGUGCUCUUUGUUCCAGUUGAUCGCAACCUGGAAUGCUAUUAGCCUAUUAGUUCAAUUAGCAGGUUGGCAGUCACCAGUUUUAUGUCAGCUAUAAGAUGAAAUAAUGUCAAUUGCCUUGGGAGUUGGCACCAUUUAAUGUAAGAAUGGUAUUCAGUAUUCUAAUCGAUGACAUUUCAAUAGGUUUUGCUUGCUUACA